GUCUCCCCGUAGUAGCGCCUCCACUGUUGUUGUUGUGGUUCGCUCGUACGAUCUCUGCCGGCCACGCUGGAUCGAUGGAAAAAGUGGACAAAAACCCUUGUUUUGCGCAAAAGUUUAUGUCCAAAAGUGUGCUGCGGUCGUAUGUUGUUAGUGCCGAUGUGUUUGUGGCAAAGAAAAUAUUAAAAAUAAACACAAAAACUAAAAGAGCGCACAAUCUCCGCGGAGCUGCCGCGACGGCGACUGGACAUAGCCGCGCCAUCAAACGCGGUACUUCUAUAUGUGUGUGUUUGUUUGUGCAUUGUUAUAUGUACAUGUUUUUUCAUGCGUGAGCAGGAACAAUUCGAUGAUGCUGAGGCCAACACUGGCUAUCUGGCUUGGAGACUCAAAACAGUCCAACGCACCACCUCUGACGGCUUUCGUCGGCGUUCCAGGAACGAUUUCCAGGACAGCCCAACAACCCAACGAGGGACUCUGUUAAUUGGUGGACAGCUCUUUGAGCUUUCUUGACACACCCGGAUUGAUUGAACAGGAUUUCUCAAUGAUGUUUGGGGCUGAAGUAUCUGUGACAGUUUUUCUGUGUAAAAAAUACCCAAAUUGCCAAGUCCAGUAAAACUAAGUUGAAAUAAAGAGUUAUUAAGUAGCUGUUGAAGGCUAAAAUAAUGUUUUCUUUUCCAUUGCUUUAUUUUCUUCUUUAUAAAAUAUCUUAGAUGUCUUCAAGGCUGCAUAGUGAUAUGUCAGCUCUUCUGUUGCUGUUGCAUCUCCUGCCUCCUACAUCAAGAGGCCACAAAAAACAGCCAAAGGAAGCUCAGCCCAGGCAGCCAACCAUCCUGUAAGGUGUAUUAAGGAAGGAGCCAGCAUCACUACAUUCCUGGAGAAAGUUGGUGCUAGACAGCCCUUCCUCCUCUGCAUCUGUGAGCAAAAGAAGAACAUCGAAAGAUUCUUCAUCAUUGUGGACCAGAAAGCUGUCCCCUUCAACGCUCGGACAUCGGUGGCUGCUGUUGGUGUGUUAUUCAAAGCUCACUAUGUCUUCAGCAUCUCCUACGACGAAGCUCUUUCCAGUUUCUCUACACCUUCAUUCAAACCACGGUGUACAUCAUCAAUGUACUUUGAUGACCAUUUCCAUGCAUAUUGUAUAGAGGAGCAAAGCAGCGAACGUGUUCUGAUUGGUCUUGACGAACUGCCAUAUGUUAGACCUUUUGAUAAACUACUCUAAUGAGAGUGACAGAGCAUACAUUGUUCCAUAUUGUUGUAUGUUUUGAAAAGCAUUGUAAAAUGUGUAUGUGAUGCACUGGUUUUAAAAUAAAUAUGUUUUAAAACUA